UACGUGGGUGGCAAGCGUUGUUCGGAAUUAUUGGGCGUAAAGGGCGCGUAGGCGGUUUGUUAAGUCGGCUGUGAAAGCCCGGGGCUCAACCCCGGAGGGUCAGCCGAUACUGGCAGACUAGAGUACGGAAGAGGUAGCUGGAAUUCCCGGUGUAGCGGUGAAAUGCGUAGAUAUGUGGAGGAACACCGAUGGCGAAGGCAGCCCCCUGGGAUGUGACUGACGCUCAUGUACGAAAGCGUGGGGAGCAAACAGG
rnacentral:rRNA from 1 species